GUACUUGGCAUAAUACAUAAGAGUUCAUAUUUAUAAUGGAAGAUAUAAGAUGUAUGGCAUUUUUUAAAUCACUUCUUAAUACAAACACUAAUUAAGCUAAUCAAUCACAUGAUUUUUUCAUAAGCAUAUACCAUAAAUUAAAGUAAAAUCUCAUUAAUUCCAACACUCCCUCUUGGUGAGAUUUUUUAUGAAGUUCCGGAUCCAACAUCAAGAAUGAGAAUUUGGG
rnacentral:misc_RNA from 1 species